GGGCCAGGGAGGGUGGGGAGUCUCGCCAGCUCCUGUAACCCGCAUGGCGUAAUGCGGGCACCAGUAACCCCUGCCCUAUAGUGUCUCCUAUCUAUAGGUCCUGGUGGAUCAAUGAAGGCCGCCCAGUGGGGCUUGGCGGACGUGGGCUUCUCCUCCGGAGGGAGGGGAAGUACCACGUUAACCGGGGGAAUCGGUCAGGCCCGGAAGGGAGCAGCCGUGCCCGGACGCCGGCGUUCACUGGUCUACGGCCUGAGUGAAGCCAGGGUAAACCUAUAGAUAGGCAGGCUAUGGGGUAGGGGGGCUGGCCC
rnacentral:SRP_RNA from 1 species